rnacentral:rRNA from 1 species
CCCUGGACAAAGACUGACGCUCAGGUGCGAAAGCGUGGGGAGCAAACAGGAUUAAAUACCCUGGUAGUCCACGCCGUAAACGAUGUCGACUUGGAGGUUGUGCCCUUGAGGCGUGGCUUCCGGAGCUAACGCGUUAAGUCGACCGCCUGGGGAGUACGGCCGCAAGGUUAAAACUCAAAUGAAUUGACGGGGGCCCGCACAAGCGGUGGAGCAUGUGGUUUAAUUCGAUGCAACGCGAAGAACCUUACCUACUCUUGACAUCCAGAGAACUUAGCAGAGAUGCUUUGGUGCCUUCGGGAACUCUAAGACAGGUGCUGCAUGGCUGUCGUCAGCUCGUGUUGUGAAAUGUUGGGUUAAGUCCCGCAACGAGCGCAACCCUUAUCCUUUGUUGCCAGCGGUUCGGCCGGGAACUCAAAGGAGACUGCCAGUGAUAAACUGGAGGAAGGUG